CCCUUUCCACUACCUGCUCCUCCUUCCCGAGUCUUGAACUUCACACCCCAGAGGGGCCUCUCCGUGUGUUGUUAUCCCUUUAAAGCCCUUCUGUGGGAGGGGUUGAUGGGUUUCAGCAGAACCUCUGUGGGCCCCAGAGGACUGCAUCCUGGCUGGAUUUGCCCUGUGCAUGUGCUGUAAAAGCACUUGGACCCGAUGACCCGGCCUUGCCAGUAACAGACCCUCCCCACACCAUGGGCAUCUAGACCCAGAACCUCCGCCGCCUCCACCUGCUCUCAUGAGCCCACAACCAGACGCUGGAUUUUAAAGAUGAAUUGUUGCAUCCUGGAUCAGUUCCUGGACCUUUGUUUAUUUGGGAAAGCAAACAAAGAUAAUGAAUAAAAUGAAAAGAAAAU